rnacentral:rRNA from 1 species
AUGGCGUCGGAGAUCGAGGUCCUCGAGGACACGACCGCCGCCGCGGCCGGCGGGGCGGCCGCCGCGGGGGAGGCGGAGGCGGCGGAGGAGGAGUCGCUCAAGGACGACGUCUGCACGGGCGCCGCGUACGGGGACCUCGAGAAGCUGCACCGCCUCGUCGAGCUGGAGGGCCGGUCGGUGACGGAGCCCGACGGCCUCGGCUACCACGCGCUCCAGUGGGCCGCCCUCAACAACCGCGUCGCCGCCGCCCAGUACAUCCUCGAGCAUGGAGCAGAUGUAAAUGCUAUAGACCAUACAGGGCAAACAGCGCUUCACUGGAGUGCAGUGCGUGGUCAUAUUCAAGUUGCAGAACUACUUCUGAAAGAAGGAGCUAAGGUUGAUGCUGCUGAUUUAUAUGGAUAUCAGACCACACAUGUUGCAGCACAGUAUGGUCAGACAGCAUUUCUUUAUCACAUUAUUUCAAAAUGGAAUGCUGAUCCUGAUGUCCCUGACAAUGAUGGCAGAAGUCCUCUUCACUGGGCUGCUUAUAAGGGAUUUGCAGACUCCAUACGCCUCCUUUUGUUUUUGGGUGCUUAUAGGGGGCGGCAAGAUAAAGAAGGUUGUACUCCUUUACAUUGGGCUGCUAUUCGGGGGAAUAUGGAGUCAUGCACUGUGUUAGUUCAGGUUGGUAAGAAGGAGGACCUUAUGGUGCAAGACAAUACUGGGUUAACUCCGGCCCAACUUGCUGCUGAUAAGAGUCACCGGCAAGUUGCAUUUUACCUUGGGAAUGCUAGAAAAGUGCAUGAAAGAGGAUGUGGUGGGAACAAUUAUUUUGGGAAACUAUCAAAAUUAGGACUCGCCCCUGUGCUUUGGUGUAUUAUCAUUGGCUUAAUUGUUGCAUAUAUACAUUCAGUUAUCGCAGGACAAUACAACUCGAAUAUGACAUUACUAUUUGGUUUCUUUUCAUGGUUGGGAGUUUUCCUUGCAAUUGCUGGACUAGUUAUGUUUUAUAGAUGUAGCAGGAAAGAUCCUGGUUACAUCAACAAGAAUAUAAGAGACUCGCAAACUCAAAGAGAUGAUGAACCUUUGUUGAAGAGGGGUCUAGAUAACCCAGAACUUCUGGCUGGCAAUUGGUCUCAACUAUGUAUUACUUGCAAAAUUGUGAGGCCCAUACGCUCAAAACACUGCUCUACAUGUGAUCGCUGUGUUGAGCAAUUUGAUCAUCACUGCCCUUGGGUUUCAAAUUGCAUCGGAAAGAAGAACAAAUGGGAGUUCUUUAUGUUUCUUAUCCUAGAAGUUUCUGCGAUGAUCAUUACUGCUGCAACGGCUGUCAUAAGAGUCGCAGGUGAUCCAGGCUCUCCAGCAUCGUUUGGUGGAUGGCUUAACUAUUCAGCUACGAACCAUCCUUGGGUGGUGUCUUUUGUUAUAAUGGAUCUCUUCCUUUUCUUCGGCGUUAUAACUCUAACAGUAGUUCAAGCAUCACAGAUAUCCGGGAAUAUAACAACAAAUGAGAUGGCAAAUGCCAUGAGGUACAGUUAUCUCAGAGGCCCGGGUGGUCGGUUCAGAAAUCCAUUUGAUCACGGGGUGAGGAAGAAUUGUUCUGACUUCUUCCUGAAGGGGUACAAUGAGGAUAUUGAGAAGGUAGAACAGACGUCACAUCCUGACGAGGAAAUGGCAAUUAUGCACAUGACAAGAAGUGCAGUCUCGCAGAACGGUGAGAGUGUGCCACUUCAUGCUAAUGGUGCUGACCAUGUUUGUGCUGACUCACAAACCAACUCAAAAUCGCAUCGCCAAGUUAGUUCGUCUAAAUGUUGUGAUCACAGUAAGAAGACUGACAAAACCCCUUUGGGCCUAGGGUUGGGCCUUGGACGAAACAAUCCCUCUAGCCGUUAUGCACGGAAUCUUCUCCCCUUGUGA